AUAAUGAUACUUUUGCAUAGCCACAGACUCAAGCAAUGGGUGCAAUUCUGUGAGAACCACAGAAAGGUGUAAUUCCUAUGG
ncrna:unclassified sequences pemK RNA